UACGUAGGGUGCGAGCGUUGUCCGGAAUUAUUGGGCGUAAAGGGCUCGUAGGCGGUCUGUUGCGUCGGGAGUGAAAACUCAGGGCUUAACCCUGAGCCUGCUUCCGAUACGGGCAGACUAGAGGUAUGCAGGGGAGAACGGAAUUCCUGGUGUAGCGGUGAAAUGCGCAGAUAUCAGGAGGAACACCGGUGGCGAAGGCGGUUCUCUGGGCAUUACCUGACGCUGAGGAGCGAAAGUAUGGGGAGCGAACAGG
rnacentral:rRNA from 1 species